rnacentral:rRNA from 1 species
GACGAACGCUGGCGGCGUGGAUUAGGCAUGCAAGUCGAACGGUAUCAUCCUUUCGGGGGUGAGAGAGUGGCGAACUGGUGAGUAACACGUAGGUUAUCUACCCUCAAGACGGGGACAACCCAGGGAAACUUGGGCUAAUACCGGAUGUGAGCAACUUUUAGUUGUUUGAAAGGUGGCGUAAGCUGUCGCUUGGGGAUGAGCCUGCGUCCUAUUAGUUAGUUGGUGAGGUAACGGCUCACCUAGGCAAUGAUAGGUAGGCGGCCUUAACGGGUGGUCGCCCACACUGGGAUUGAGAUACGGCCCAGACUCCUACGGGAGGCAGCAGUCGAGAAUAGUCUACAAUGGUCGGAAGACUGAUAGUGCGACGCCGCGUGAACGAUGAAUCCCUUCGGGGUGUAAAGUUCUUUUAUAUGUGAGCAGUGCUUUUCUUAUAUUAACAGUAUGGGGAGAGAGAUAUUAGCAUAUGAAUAAGCAACGGCUAACUCCGUGCCAGCAGCCGCGGUAAACU